GCUGGCGGCAGGCCUAAAACAUGCAAGUCGAGCGCCCAGCAAUGGGAGCGGCGGACGGGUGAGUAACACGUGGGAAUGUACCUUUCGGUUCGGAACAACUCAGGGAAACUUGAGCUAAUUCCUGAUACGCCCUUACGGGGAAAGAUUUAUCGCCGAAAGAUCAGCCCGCGUUGGAUUAGCUAGUUGGUGAGGUAACGGCCCACCAAGGCGACGAUCCAUAGCUGGUUUGAGAGAACGACCAGCCACACUGGGACUGAGACACGGCCCAGACUCCUACGGGAGGCAGCAGUUGGGAAUCUUGGACAAUGGAGGAAACUCUGAUCCAGCCAUGCCGCGUGAGUGAUGAAGGCCUUCGGGUUGUAAAACUCUUUCGACGGGGACGAUAAUGACGGUACCCGUAGAAGAAGCUCCGGCUAACUUCGUGCCAGCAGCCGCGGUAAUACGAAGGGGGCUAGCGUUGUUCGGAAUUACUGGGCGUAAAGCGCGCGCAGGCGGCUCUCCAAGUCAGUGGUGAAAGCCCGGGGCUCAACCCCGGAACUGCCAUUGAAACUGUUGAGCUUGAGUACGAGAGAGGUGAGUGGAAUUCCCAGUGUAGAGGUGAAAUU
rnacentral:rRNA from 1 species